ensembl:lncRNA
UAAAAUUCAGCUUUGUCAUCAAAGGAAUAAAUUACAUUAAAAUAGAAAACAGUUAUUUUAAAUUGUAAUAAUAUUUCACAAUAUUACCGUUUUCCUAUAUUUUUGAGUUAAAAAAAGCAACCUUAGUGAGUAUGAGAGAGAGUGGGAAUCUUGAGAGUGUCUGGAAUUCUGCAGGAAUGUUCCCGCCUUGGCGAACACAGUCGAGACAACCAUUUUGCAGAGAAGUUUGUCUAAGAAAUUCUCAGAAUAGCUGAGAGACAGUAUAAGUGUCACAGAGAAGGAAAAGUUGUGCUCUUUGCUUACAGCCAUGAUUACGGUUAUAUAAUAGGCACUAACCAUUUUAGUCUUCAGGCUGUCCACCCUCACAAUAUCCUACACAAACCAGAAAUAUUGGAGGCUCUUUGAAAAGAACGCUAUAACCCAAACUACAGUGUGUGUGUGUGUGUGUGCGUGUGUGUGUGUGUGUGUGAGUAAGUGAAGAGCACUUUACGAGAUUGAAAGCAUGGUGCCAUUUGUACAGACUGAAGUGUAGAUGUGUGUAUAAGUCUAUGAACUGAUGAAAUGUCCCUGUUAUUGCAGCAUGACUAAACACAAGCAAAAUCUGAUUGUGUGUGUGUGUGUGUGUGUGUGUGUGUCCGCAGUCCAGACCAGUCUAAGAUAGAUUAUGAGCUUGCCAGAAACAACUUGUUCAAAGUGGCAAUCAACUUCAAUUCGUAAAACUAAUUCAGUGCUCUGAUUCCUAUCAUGUUAGUGUCACAUUACAUAACAAUAAAUAAGAAAGAAAUGACACAGACAGGCUAAACUGAUCCACUUUCCCACUAAAGCAUUUUACAGCAAUCCACAAGCUUAUCCAAGUCCUGACGGGCAGCCAUUAGAUGACCACCGUUGGGACAGCAGGCCACUUGAUCUUCACAGAGAGAGCAGUGUGAUUGAGAGACACAGAUGGAAUAUGAGAGAAACAUACAGAGAUGUGUCUGUGAGACCAUGAGAAUCGCAGUGUGAAGAAAUGAAAAAUGGGAUGUAG